UUAAAUUAAUAAAAAUGGAUCCUACUCAAGACCAAUUCCGGAUGUUCAUACGUAAGUAAAGUUCAGUGCAUUGAAUAAGAUUAAAAUUUAAGGAUGAAUAAUAUUUCAGAAGCAGCAUCACGUCGAAGCCAAACAUCCGCUGGCAGCAGUCACUAUGGUAGUCAACCUGCACCUCCGCAGAAAGAUGAUUCGUGCGAUGAAAAAUUCAAGCUACGGGAGAGUUGCAAAUGCCGAACCUGCACCUUCAAAAAAGGAUAAUUCAGUUUUUAAGCUCUCUAAGUGGAAAAGCGCUGAGUCGCCACGGAGCUGGAAGGAGCGCACUGGAACUUUUCAAAAUGUUUCAGGUCAGGAUGUGUCAUCAGUGUCUACCAAAUCAGCACGGCGCUCGUUGAAUUUCGAUAGUUUGCGUCCAAAUUAACUGCAGGACAGGUCAACAAUCCUUCAAAAACAGCAGCAUUCAUCGUGUUCCGUUUCAUGAGAUGAAAAUUUCAAGCUACGGGAAUGUUGCAAAUGCCCGUACAACGGAUUGGAUUUUGCAACAGAAUCACGCAAAGUACAACAGAUGUAGGUUAACAGUUUUAUCCAACACUCGAGUCAAAAGCAGCAAUCUCUCCUCUACAGUAGCCACGCCACCCAUAUAUCGAUCUUUGAAGUCUCACUCUGCAUCCAUCAAAGGAAAUGAUAAAUCACUGAGAAAACUGAUCAGUGAUUCAACGGCUACA